GGCACUAUGGCCGAGUGGUUAAGGCGGUAGAUUUAAGUUGAGAGAACCAGCUCUAACUCCUCUACUCUCGAAAGAGGCGUGGGUUCGAACCCCACUGGUGUCA